rnacentral:rRNA from 1 species
GGCUCAGGAUGAACGCUGGCGGCGUGCUUAACACAUGCAAGUCGAACGAUGAACCUCACUUGUGGGGGGAUUAGUGGCGAACGGGUGAGUAACACGUGAGUAACCUGCCCUUGACUCUGGGAUAAGCCUGGGAAACCGGGUCUAAUACUGGAUACGACCUUCUGGCGCAUGCCAUGUUGGUGGAAAGCUUUUGUGGUUUUGGAUGGACUCGCGGCCUAUCAGCUUGUUGGUGGGGUAAUGGCCUACCAAGGCGACGACGGGUAGCCGGCCUGAGAGGGUGACCGGCCACACUGGGACUGAGACACGGCCCAGACUCCUACGGGAGGCAGCAGUGGGGAAUAUUGCACAAUGGGCGCAAGCCUGAUGCAGCGACGCCGCGUGAGGGAUGAAGGCCUUCGGGUUGUAAACCUCUUUCAGUAGG